AACGAACGCUGGCGGCAGGCUUAACACAUGCAAGUCGAACGCCCCGCAAGGGGAGUGGCAGACGGGUGAGUAACGCGUGGGAACGUACCUUUCAGUUCGGAAUAACUCAGGGAAACUUGUGCUAAUACCGGAUACGUCCGUAAGGAGAAAGAUUUAUCGCUGAAAGAUCGGCCCGCGUUGGAUUAGCUAGUUGGUGGGGUAAUGGCCUACCAAGGCGACGAUCCAUAGCUGGUCUGAGAGGAUGAUCAGCCACACUGGGACUGAGACACGGCCCAGACUCCUACGGGAGGCAGCAGUGGGGAAUAUUGGACAAUGGGCGAAAGCCUGAUCCAGCCAUGCCGCGUGAGUGAUGAAGGCCCUAGGGUUGUAAAGCUCCUUCACCGAUGAAGAUAAUGACGGUAGUCGGAGAAGAAGCCCCGGCUAACUUCGUGCCAGCCGCCGCCGUAA
rnacentral:rRNA from 1 species